rnacentral:rRNA from 1 species
GGGUUGUGAGGUUAAGCGACUAAGCGUACACGGUGGAUGCCCUGGCAGUCAGAGGCGAUGAAGGGCGUGCUAAUCUGCGAUAAGCGCCGGUAAGGUGAUAUGAACCGUUAUAACCGGCGAUACCCGAAUGGGGAAACCCAGUGUGACUCGUCACACUAUCAUUAACUGAAUCCAUAGGUUAAUGAGGCGAACCGGGGGAACUGAAACAUCUAAGUACCCCGAGGAAAAGAAAUCAACCGAGAUUCCCCCAGUAGCGGCGAGCGAACGGGGAGGAGCCCAGAGCCUGAAUCAGCAUGUGUGUUAGUGGAAGCGUCUGGAAAGGCGCGCGAUACAGGGUGACAGCCCCGUACACAAAAGCGCAUGUGCUGUGAGCUCGAUGAGUAGGGCGGGACACGUGGUAUCCUGUCUGAAUAUGGGGGACCAUCCUCCAAGGCUAAAUACUCCUGACUGACCGAUAGUGAACCAGUACCGUGAGGGAAAGGCGAAAAGAACCCCGGCGAGGGGAGUGAAAAAGAACCUGAAACCGUGUACGUACAAGCAGUGGGAGCACCCUUUGGGUGUGACUGCGUACCUUUUGUAUAAUGGGUCAGCGACUUAUAUUCUGUAGCAAGGUUAACCGAAUAGGGGAGCCGGAGGGAAACCGAGUCUUAAUUGGGCGUUAAGUUGCAGGGUAUAGACCCGAAACCCGGUGAUCUAGCCAUGGGCAGGUUGAAGGUUGGGUAACACUAACUGGAGGACCGAACCGACUAAUGUUGAAAAAUUAGCGGAUGACCUGUGGCUGGGGGUGAAAGGCCAAUCAAACCGGGAGAUAGCUGGUUCUCCCCGAAAGCUAUUUAGGUAGCGCCUCGUGAAUUCAUCUCCGGGGGUAGAGCACUGUUUCGGCUAGGGGGCCAUCCCGGCUUACCAACCCGAUGCAAACUGCGAAUACCGGAGAAUGUUAUCACGGGAGACACACGGCGGGUGCUAACGUCCGUCGUGAAGAGGGAAACAACCCAGACCGCCAGCUAAGGUCCCAAAGUCAUGGUUAAGUGGGAAACGAUGUGGGAAGGCCCAGACAGCCAGGAUGUUGGCUUAGAAGCAGCCAUCAUUUAAAGAAAGCGUAAUAGCUCACUGGUCGAGUCGGCCUGCGCGGAAGAUGUAACGGGGCUAAACCAUGCACCGAAGCUGCGGCAGCGACACUGUGUGUUGUUGGGUAGGGGAGCGUUCUGUAAGCCUGUGAAGGUGUGUCGUGAGGCAUGCUGGAGGUAUCAGAAGUGCGAAUGCUGACAUAAGUAACGAUAAAGCGGGUGAAAAGCCCGCUCGCCGGAAGACCAAGGGUUCCUGUCCAACGUUAAUCGGGGCAGGGUGAGUCGACCCCUAAGGCGAGGCCGAAAGGCGUAGUCGAUGGGAAACGGGUUAAUAUUCCCGUACUUGGUGUUACUGCGAAGGGGGGACGGAGAAGGCUAUGUUGGCCGGGCGACGGUUGUCCCGGUUUAAGCGUGUAGGUGUGUGUUCCAGGUAAAUCCGGUUCACUUUAACACUGAGGCGUGACGACGAGGCACUACGGUGCUGAAGCAACAAAUGCCCUGCUUCCAGGAAAAGCCUCUAAGCAUCAGGUAACAUCAAAUCGUACCCCAAACCGACACAGGUGGUCAGGUAGAGAAUACCAAGGCGCUUGAGAGAACUCGGGUGAAGGAACUAGGCAAAAUGGUGCCGUAACUUCGGGAGAAGGCACGCUGACACGUAGGUGAAGUGAUUUACUCAUGGAGCUGAAGUCAGUCGAAGAUACCAGCUGGCUGCAACUGUUUAUUAAAAACACAGCACUGUGCAAACACGAAAGUGGACGUAUACGGUGUGACGCCUGCCCGGUGCCGGAAGGUUAAUUGAUGGGGUCAGCGCAAGCGAAGCUCCUGAUCGAAGCCCCGGUAAACGGCGGCCGUAACUAUAACGGUCCUAAGGUAGCGAAAUUCCUUGUCGGGUAAGUUCCGACCUGCACGAAUGGCGUAAUGAUGGCCAGGCUGUCUCCACCCGAGACUCAGUGAAAUUGAACUCGCUGUGAAGAUGCAGUGUACCCGCGGCAAGACGGAAAGACCCCGUGAACCUUUACUAUAGCUUGACACUGAACAUUGAGCCUUGAUGUGUAGGAUAGGUGGGAGGCUUUGAAGUGUGGACGCCAGUCUGCAUGGAGCCGACCUUGAAAUACCACCCUUUAAUGUUUGAUGUUCUAACGUGGACCCGUUACCCGGGUUGCGGACAGUGUCUGGUGGGUAGUUUGACUGGGGCGGUCUCCUCCUAAAGAGUAACGGAGGAGCACGAAGGUUGGCUAAUCCUGGUCGGACAUCAGGAGGUUAGUGCAAUGGCAUAAGCCAGCUUGACUGCGAGCGUGACGGCGCGAGCAGGUGCGAAAGCAGGUCAUAGUGAUCCGGUGGUUCUGAAUGGAAGGGCCAUCGCUCAACGGAUAAAAGGUACUCCGGGGAUAACAGGCUGAUACCGCCCAAGAGUUCAUAUCGACGGCGGUGUUUGGCACCUCGAUGUCGGCUCAUCACAUCCUGGGGCUGAAGUAGGUCCCAAGGGUAUGGCUGUUCGCCAUUUAAAGUGGUACGCGAGCUGGGUUUAGAACGUCGUGAGACAGUUCGGUCCCUAUCUGCCGUGGGCGCUGGAGAACUGAGGGGGGCUGCUCCUAGUACGAGAGGACCGGAGUGGACGCAUCACUGGUGUUCGGGUUGUCAUGCCAAUGGCACUGCCCGGUAGCUAAAUGCGGAAGAGAUAAGUGCUGAAAGCAUCUAAGCACGAAACUUGCCCCGAGAUGAGUUCUCCCUGAGACUUAAAGUCUCCUGAAGGAACGUUGAAGACGACGACGUUGAUAGGCCGGGUGUGUAAGCGCAGCGAUGCGUUGAGCUAACCGGUACUAAUGAACCGUGAGGCUUAACCUUACAACGCCGAAG